rnacentral:lncRNA from 1 species
UUUUUUGCUUUGUAGGGCCACACUUGCAGCAUAUGGAGAUUCCCAGGCUAUGGGUCUAUGUGGUGUAGCUGCCAGCCUACACUACAGCCAUAGCAACGCCAUAUCUGAGCCACAUCUGCAAGCUACACCACAGCUCAUGGUAACACUGGAUCCUUACCCCAUUGAGCAAGGCCAGAGGUCGAACCCGCAACCUCACGGUUCCAAGUUGGAUUCGUUAACCACAGAGCCACAGCGGGAACUCCUGUGUUUUUUCUCUUUAGGGCCACAUGGGCGGCACAUGGAAGUUCCCAGGCUAGGGGCUGAAUGGGAGCUGCAACUGCCUGCCUACACCUAUGCCAGAUCCUUAACCCACUGAGCGGGACCAGGGAUCAGACCUACAACCUCAUGGAUACUAGUUGGGUUCGUUAUCUCUGAGCCUCAACAGUAACUCCCCUCACACUUGCUUUAAUGCUCUGCUGUCACCUUCAUGGAAUUCUUUUGGGGGAGAGGGGCUGCACCUGCAGCACACCUUCCCCUGGCCAAGGAUUGAAUCUGAGCCACAGCUGGGACCCACGCCACCGCUAUGGCAACACCAGAUUCCUAACCCACUGUGUCAGGCCAGGGAUCGACCCCACACAGCCACAGAGACAAUGCUGGAUCCUUAACCCACUGUGCCACAACAGGAACUCUCAUGAUAUUCUUUAAACAGGGGGCUCUGAAAUUUCACUUUGCAUUGGGCCUGAAAAUUACAUAGCAGGUCAUACAAGGGGGCAAGAUAAAGGCAGGAAAACCUGUCAGGAUGCUAUAGUUGGAGUAGGAGAUAAUGAGGGGGAUAAAUUAAUCUUGUCAUAACAGUAAUAUAGAUGCACACUGUUCUUUUCAACACCUACCUAGUGUUCCUCUGCUUAGAUGUAGCAGUUUCCCCAGUUGGAAAAUAUUUAGGUUGAUUUUGAUCUUUCGUAAUUACAAAGAAGGCUAAAAUGAAUGAUUUUAGACAUUUGUCUGUGUAUAUAUUCAAGGAUUAUCUGUCUAGGGCAAAUUCUCGAAAUUAGAAUUGAUGAGUCAAAGGUAUGUUCAUUUUCAAGGUUGACAGGUAUUGGUAAUUUGUAUUCCAAAGAGAGUCUACCAAUUUAUAUCCCUUCUUGUAAUACUUUCAUGGUGCCCUAUUUAAUACUCUGUAAUAUCCAACUGUUUGAUAUUUGCAGUCUCAUAGGUGAGAAAGCAAUAGCUCAUUGUUCCAAUUUGCCUCUCUUUAAUUACAAAUGAAGUUGGACUUAAAAAAAAAAAAGAAUAUAAGGAGUUCCCUGGGGGCCUAGUGACUAAGGAAUCAGCAUUGUCCCUGCUGUGACUCUAAUUCAAUCCCCACCCUGGGAACUUCCACACAUACCUCAUGCCCCCAGGCAAAACCAAAAACAAACAAAAAAAUAUAAGUCCAUACUUCUGUUUACCCGAAGCCCAUUUUGUACUUUGCCUUUUUUUUUUUUUUUUUUUUUUUUUUUUUUUUUUUUUUUUUUUNNNNNNUUUUUGUCUUUUGUUGUUGUUGUUGUUGUGGCUAUUUCUUGGGCCGCACCCGCGACAUAUGGAUAGACCUAGAGAUUAUCAUACUAAAUGAAGCAAGCCAAAGACAAAUAUAUGAUAUUGCUUAUGUGUGGAAUCUUAAAAAAAAUUAUAUAAAUGCACUUAUAUACAUAACAGAAACAGAUACAGAUCUAGAAACAGAUAUAAAAACAUUUAUGGUUACCAAAGGGGAAAGGGAGAGGGAGGGAUAAACUAGGCAUUUGGGAUUAACAUAUACACACUACUAUACAUAAAACAGAUAAACAACAAGGACUGACUAUAUAGCACAGGGAAUUAUACUCAGUGUUUUGCAAUAAUCUAAAAGAGAAAGAAUCUGAAAAAGAAUAUAUAUAUAUGUGAAUGUGAGUAUAACUAAAUCAUUUUGCUGUACACCUGAAACUAACACAUUAUAAACCAACUGCACUUCAAUUUUUUAAAAAAGAAAGAUGUUUCUUUGUUCUAAAAAUCUUCUAUUGGCUUUUUCCCUCAAAGAGGUACCCCUUCCCUUCAUAGCCCUCAUCCCCUAAUACCUUCACUCUUCUUCCAUUCCAACCACACUGGUCUCCAAGUUGUUCCUCAAACCUCCCUGGCAUGCUCUGUCCCAUAAGUUUUUCACUUGCUAGUCCCUCUACUGAGUUCAUUUCUCUUCCCUUCUUGUUCCUUCAGGUCUUUACUUCUUCCUGAGGCUUUUCCUGACUGAUCUAUCUAAAAUCUUACCCCACACACACCUACACCUUUCAGCUUUCAUAUCCCAGUUCCUUGCUUUUCUCAACAGCUAUUACUAACUUUCUUUCUUUCUUUCUUUCUACACAUGUUAUUUUGUUUGUUUUCUGUAACACUCAGUGUAAGUUCCAUGAAAGGAGGUUUUGAUUUGAUUUGUUCACUGCUCUAUCCAAGCAGCUAGAGCAGUGCUGGGCAUAUAGUAGGUGUUUAAUAAAUAUUUGUUGAACAAUUUGUUGAAAUGCUAUCAUGUCACUGUUUUAUUCAAAACACUUCAGUGAUGUCCUAUGGCUAAUAACAAGGUUCUCAAACCUUUUGGUCUCAGGAUUGCCUUCACGCUCUUAAAAGUUAUUGAGGACUCCAAAGAACCUUUGUUUAUGUGGAUUAUAUCUAUUGACAAUUACCACACUAGAAAUCAAAGUUGAGAAAUUUUAAAAUAUUUACAUAUUAAUUUAUUUUAAAUAAUAAUAAAUGUGUGAAUAUCGAUAACAUUUUAAUGAAAAAUAACCACAUUUUUCAAAACCAAAAAAAAAAAUUUAGCAAGAAUGAUAUUGUUUUACAGUCUUGAAAACCUAUUUAAAGUCUGAUGUAAUACAAGGUAGUUCUACUCUCAUAUCUAUUUCUGCAGUCAAUCUGUCAUGACAUGUCAUGAAGCCUCUGCACAACCACAUAGUCCACUCAUGAGAAAAUGAGAGUCAAAAAGAAAAAUAUAAUGUCUGAGUAUUAUUAGGAAAAUAGUUUUGAUCCCCUAGACCCACUAAAAGGGUCAGAACCACGCUUGAGAAGUGCUGGCCUAGAGCAUGAAGGAGUCCACAAAUUCCUUCACAUGACAUUAACAUCUAUCCAUGCCUUUGUACACACAGUUUCCUUCCCACUCUAUAUAGCACACUCAUCCAAGGCCCAUCUCACCUCCUUCCAUCUCUAGACAGUUGUUCCCUCCUCUCUACCCCCAGAAUAUUUUUCUAUUCUCUCUUAUAGCAUAUAUUAUGGUAUUUUCUUGCUGUUCAUUUAAGCGUCUAUCUUCCCAAUGGAUUAUCUUUCUAAAGAAAGCAACUAUAACCUAAUCUCCUUUAUAUCCCCUGCCCAGAUAGCACCCAAAAGAUAUUUAAUAAAUAUUUGUGGAAUAAAGAAAUAAGAAAGAUGAUGAAGAAAGAGAAGGCUGGCUCCAGUUUCCCUACAGGGAGCUCUGGCACUGAUAUAAUUAAUGCUUCUUGAUAAGAUUACCAACACCUCUUUUAUAACAUCUGCUCCAUUAACUAUGUAGUUUACAAACUGAAUCCCAACCGUUCAUGCGGUCUUCCUCAUAAAGUGGAGAGGGCAGGGUCAUUAGUUUUAUUUUACAAAUGAGGAAACCAAGGUCAAAGAGAUGAAAUGAUUUGCCCCAAAGUUCACAACAAAUUACUGACAGUCAAUAUUCUGGUAUCUGAAUCUAAGUUC